rnacentral:lncRNA from 1 species
UGUAAGGGACCAAGAAUGUUUGCAAAAAGAUAGCCUGUAACCUUUCCAUGAGAGAUGAGCUGUAAUUCACCAUCCCCAUUCUUAUGAUGUUUACUCAGCUUCCCCAUUCUCUGUAGUCUUAUCCUCCCCUCACUUUGUGGUUUAUUCUUUAAAACCCUCAACUGCAACUGCAGAGGGUCGAUCCCUGUGUGUGUUAUGAGCAAUAAAUCUCAUGCAAUAUUGCAUCAAGAAUGGUUUCUCUUGCGUUAUUGGGGUGCCGGCUCAUCCCAGGACUUGAGCGAGAAAUGGGGGUCUUUCAGUGUAUGCUGCCUCAGUGUCUGAGAUCCAGGUUAUUUGAGACUGUCCUCAGCUUCUUCUAGCUUUUCCCUAAUUCAACCACAGGGGUUCCCAGCUUCUGUCCAUUGGUUGCAUGUAAAUUUAUGCAUCUGACUCUUUCACCUGCUGGUUGGGUCUUUAAGAGGGCAGUCAUGAUAGGCCCAUUUUUGUGAGCACACCAUAGCAUCAGUAAUAGUGUCAGGCCUUGUCUUCCCUUCCUUACUCCAGGGAUUUGAAGUUCAUUUCAUACAUGCCUUUCACUUGAUUGGUGAGUUACACUGAGGUAUUCUAUGUUAUGUGUGGCUACUUGAAUGGUGUUGUUCCCUAAUUUCUUUCUCAUCUACUUUAUCAUUUGUAUAAAGGAAGGAAACUGAUUUGUUUGAGUCAAUGUAAUAUCUAGCCACAUUGCUGAAGUUGUUUAUCUAUCAUAGGAGUUCUCUGGUAGAGUUUUGAGGGACAUUUAUGUAUCAUAUCACCCAUGAAUAGUCAUACCAUGACUUCUUCCUUUCCAAUUUGUAUAUCCUAAGAUCUCCUUUUGUUGUCUUAUUGCUCUAGCUAGAACUUUGCUGGUGGCCAGCCCUGGCAGGUUCUUCUCUUUUGUUUGUUUUGAUGAGGCAGCAGAGUGGGGAGAGCAUCAGUGGAGUGUAAGACUUCAUAUUACAAGAUACAGGGUAAGACUGUCUUUCAAGAUAUCUAGAGUUGCUGUAUAAUAAUAAAAAAUUUACUUAUCUAAGUCUAAGUUACUUUGCUGCUGUAGCUGACCUGCCUCCUGUGUUUCUCUGAGACCUGAAACUGUGGCCUCUGGCACUUAACACCUCAUCCUAAAAUAGCAUGGGAUUAAGUAAAGAAUUAAUUGCUAGAGACUUUUCUCUUUUGUCCAGAUGCCUCUUACUUCUCAGUCUAGGGGGAAGCAUGGAACAAUAAACUUCUAUUGGAUGAGAAGAAGAGAAUAGUGCUCACAGAAGGAAAAAUUUUGCAUAAGAAAAUAUGCAUAAACACAUAAAUUCACAUAGAGUUACACAAAUGCAAAUUCAUACAUUCCAAUUCAAACCAGUUAGGUUCAACUUGCAUGAAUUGUGUCAAUUACAUACUUACACGCACAUAUCCAUACAGACCUAUGCAUAUGACGCAAAGAUCAAGCACUGGUGCAGGAAACUAACUCAUUCUGGAUGAAAAAUGUGCUCCAACCUUUAUUUUAUGAAGAAAAAAGUUUCUACCCUUUUAAUGCUGAAUGAAUUUAACACAAGAUUAUAAGAAAAAAGGUUUGUUCUUUAAUAAGGCUAAGCUUGCCUUAGUAAGAAAAGACCUAUUCUGUCCAUGGUAAGGAGAAACUUGCCUGCUACUUCUGCUAUCUCUGCAGGUUCCUUUUCCUCUUUCUCUCCGCAUUCUGCACAUUGCUCUAUUAGUUUUUAUUUUUUUUAAUGUUACAUAUAGUUUAGAAUUUAAUCCACUCUGCAUUUUUUCUAAUCUUGCUCUCUUCUCUUUCCCCCUUUCUCUCAACAUCUUCUCUUCCAAUGCUAUUCCUAUACUUCUAAGUUCUUGUUCAGCUCUGUUAUGUCCAUAAACUGUUCUAUCUAAAAAUUUCUCAGCUCAUUUCUUCUCUCUUCUCUUUAUCCUCAGCACUUACACAUCUUACAGAAUACAUGACCACAUGUUAAAAAGAUCAUCAAAUGUUCACACAUAAAAUCAUAAAUUGAAAUAGAAUUUUACAACAGAGAAUGCUUACAUGCAUAUAUACUAGGAGUAAUUAUCUGGCUAAAUAUUCAUCACCUGUCACAGCUAAGAAGGUUCACUGAAAGGUAAAAACCAUAAGUAAGUUAUUAGUGAAGUUUUGUAUAGUAAACCUAGUCAAUAUUAUAUUUUCUAUACCAGAGCCUUUAAUUAAUUGUUAGUUAUAUUUUUACGACCUUUGGUUAAUUGUUUUACAACCAUUUGGAAUGUAGUAGUAGUACAUUGUAGUAGUACAAUGUAAUAGUAGUAGUAGUAGUAGUAGUAGUAGUAGUAGUAGUAGUAGAAAGUCUGGUUAUUAUGUAGAGGAAUUAACUGGUAACACAUGGGAGAAUGGCAGAGUUCUCAUUGCAGUUUUGACUAUCACAAAAGGAUCUAGUAGCAGACCCACUAUAAAAGAGCUUAAUAAACACUGAUAUAACUUAAGGAAAUCUGAUAGGAUCAUUUUCAAGAUUUAAGAGAUCAUGUAUUUUCAUAUAUAGCAUCACUACAAGCCAGUAUAUUUUUGUAGAUUUGCAGAGAUCUGCUCAGAAGUGUGGGCUAAUUCCUAGUGUUAUGUUCAAUUUAUAUGUUCAAUAUUAACAAGAAAAGCAUUAGCAGGAAUCGUUCCUGAAAUGAUUUUCUCCUGCGAUAUGCCUAUUGGAGCAAAUCUCUCGUGGAUUAUAAUCCAAGACAGACCAUCUCAGGAAGAUCACAUAUUAUUUAUUAGCUUGUCAUAUGAUGACUCCUGACAACUUCAAGUACUACAUUGAAUAAAUAGGGAGAGAGUGGGCAGCCUUGUAUUGCAACUUAUUUUAGGAAGAUUGCUUCAACUUUCUCUUCUUUUAAUUUGAUACUGGGUGCUGGUUUCCUUCAUAUUGAUUUUAUUAUGUUAUAUUAGUUGUGUGUCAGGAGUUCCUGAUCUCUACAAGACUUUUAUCAUGAAGGAGCUUUGGCUUUUGGCCUAGGCUUUUUCACGGUCUUGUGAGAUGAUAAUUUUUUUCCUUUGAGUUUGUUUAUAUAGUGGAUUACUUGAUGGAUUCUAGGGAAAGGGAAUGGGGAAGAUUUUUCUGUGAGCUGG